rnacentral:pre_miRNA from 1 species
UGUGAAUGUUACGUGUACAUAGUCGCUUGGUGGAUGUCUACUGUAGACAUCAAGCGACUAUGUACACGUUAACAUUCAUAUUC